ACUGCUGUCAUCACCGGCCUCCACAGACCGACUGAAGGAGUCUGAAAGGAUCCUGGUGAAUCACUAAAUACUCAUCAGAAUGCUUCUGCCCUCCUUGAGAACCUUGAGAAGAAAGAUGAAUGGACAUAGUCAUAGUCAUCCACAGACACACACACACACACACACACACACACACACACACACACACACACACAAACAAUAUGUGUACUGUGUAAGAAUUAGGGAAAAGAAGAUGAUAAACAAAACUAAAAUAUUUAGUGUUAACAUUUAAUAUUUGAGGAGAAAGGCAAUCUACCUGUUAUUUGACUGUAUCUUAGAUCACAUCAGUUUAAAAAGUGUGAAUAAUUUGGGAUCAAUUAGCCAGGAGAACGUGUUUCUUGCAGUGAUGUUUUCCAUAUAGAAAACAAUAUUUAUUUUCACAUUGUGUUACAGAUGUAGGUACUCCUCCUAAUGGGCACCGUAAUUGAGAAGAUGGAGAUGGAUAUAUUGCCUUUUUAUGUUGAAAAGAAAAGAGCAUCAUUUAACAAACUAUUAAAUCGAAAAUGGAAGGAUAAUAUUGAAUGUUUGUGCAGUUAAUGAGUGCCAAAGGAAAACAUGAAUUGCAGACUCCGGACACUCGGGGGCGGUAUGCGCGUUCAAAGCAGGUUGCUACCAGCCAACGGUUGUAGUUCGGUCCUUCGCACCGGAAGAGGGCGCUGUUAGAUUCAGCUCACAGCUGCUACGCUCAUCUCUUGAUGUUUCACGUUGACUGUAAACAGCAGCUAGGUUUGAUUUUAGCAUGUAUUUUGAUGCUGUACUGUUGAAAUGUUAUUCAACGAGCCCCGCGCCCCACUUGUUUUGGACGAGUCGCAGACAAAACCACAAAGUAGAAAGCCACAGAGCUAGCUAGCGUUAAGCUAACGCGACCGGACGUUAGCUAGCACGGGCUAAUUAUUAUUUUGAGACACUUUACUCACUUACUACUGUGUUUCCGGUCAUGGCAGGUGAAGUGCAGCGCAUUUAAUGAGCACAAUGAUUAAGUGUUUGCCUAAAGAGGUUCAGGGGAAACUCCGCUCGGGUGUCGCCAUCCCCUCGCUUCAGCAGUGCGUGGAGGAGCUUAUCCUAAACAGCAUCGAUGCAGAGGCGACCUGUGUUGGGGUCAGGGUGGACAUGGAGGCGUUCAAAGUCCAGGUAAUCGACAACGGUGCUGGGAUGAACGCCGAGGACAUGGAGUGCGUGGGGAACAGAUACUACACGAGCAAAUGCAGCUGUGUUGAAGACCUGGACGACCUGAGGUGGUAUGGUUUCAGAGGGGAAGCCCUGGCAAGUGUGGUCUCUCUGGCCACACUUGUUGAAAUCUCAUCGCGCACCAGAUCGUCGGUGAAAACCCACGUCAAACUCUUCAAGGAUGGCAAGGGCAUGGAUGUGUUCGAAGCAGAGGCUGCACGACCCUCUGCGGGGACAACUGUUGUCAUCUGUAACUUCUUCCACAACAUGCCAGUCCGGAGGAAGAGGAUGGACGCUGUGCUUGAGCGUGAGAGGAUCAGGCACAGACUGGAGGCCAUUUCUCUGAUGCAUCCCUCUGUGUCUUUCACCCUGAAGAAUGACUGCACAGGAGCCAUGAUGGUGCAGCUUCCUAAAGCUAAAAGCACCUACCACAGGUUUGUCCAGAUACACGGCCUUGGUCGAGCACAGAAGCUUGGAGAAAUCAGCCACAUGCAUGGGCAGUUCGAAGUGAUUGGUUACAUUGGCAGAGAGGGCCACUACAGUAACAGCUUACAGUUCCUGUAUGUAAAUGACAGACUGCUCCUGAAAACACGGAUACACAAACUACUGAACUUCCUCCUACGCAGGCUGAGCAGUUCACAUCAGAGGAACGACAGUCCAGAGAGGCAGCCUGCCAUCAGGAGUCCAAAGCUUAAGCGGAGCCAAGAUCUUCACGGAGUAUACGUCAUAAAUAUCAAAUGCUCGUACUCAGAGUAUGACAUAUGUCUUGAGCCUGCCAAAACUCUAAUAGAGUUCAAAGAUUGGGAUGGUAUUUUGCUCUGCAUAGAAGAGGCAGUGAAAGCUUUCCUCAGCAGAGAGAACUUGGUGGCAGUGCUUUCUCAAGAUUAUUUGGACGACGUGUCUCCCCGAUUGUUUUGCAAUGACAACACAGACAAAGAUGGUCACAAUAGUGGCAGUUGUGACCAGGCAACUAGCAGUGCUCCCACACUAGAUUACAGUAUUGGGAUGAAACUGGCAUCUCAUUCUGUUCAUCGUAAGUGCAACGAUGACACUGUGUGUGAGAACAGUGUUUGCCAGGAGUAUGAGCUGACGGAGACUGAACAAAUAAAUGAGUUGGAAAAGAUGAAAAGCAUAAAGAAAGAAUGUAGAGAAGGCCUGGAACAGGCCUCUGAUAAUAACGUUACUGAAAAAGGGGGCCUGACAUUCAGUGAAGCUGAGGAAGGCUCUCAAAUUGUAUGUACCAGUAAUUCCAUCAAACAAGCAACUGAAAAACUGGAAUUUUUAACAGAAAUUGAUACAAGAUUAAAUGUUACUACCUCAACCAGCAAUGAGACUUCACAAGAUGGCGUAACUCAAGAAAUUCAGCCUGAUUUAAACUGUGUUGAGCAAAAUUUAUCAGACUGCCAGGGUUCAGAAGGAAACAAACAGACUUUAGUGAGUAACAGAAAGAUCCGACUGUCCGAUCCAUACAUUCAUGAAAGUCUGCAGACUCAGGACAAAUCCCAAAUCAACAAGUCAGUAUCUCAGGAGCAAAUUUUAGCACAUAAAUGUGAAGAGAGAUCCUUCGCUUCAAAACGCAAAAUCUCACUGGAUGCAGCCCAAGACAUAACUGGUCCGAAACUAUUCAAAGAUUUGGCUCCUAUGAUUCCCUCAAAGAUUCCCAGAAGUGUAACUUAUCCAAAGUUGUCUAUAUGUAAAGAGUCUGGAUCUCUUGAGAAGUUCAGAAGAGUGUACGGUAAAUCUGAUGAACUGCAGUUAACCUCUCAAGUGAAUAAUACUCGACCUGCACAGUCAGACAGCCUCCGAAGCCCACCAACCCUCUCAGUUUUCACAAACGUGAAACCAGUGUCAGUGCAGAAUAGAGGCAAAAAAUCUUUGGCCGCUAAACUCUGCCUUUUGAAACAACACAGGACAGACAAUCCAGAAGUGUUACCACGUCCAUCCAGCAUGUCGUCACAGGACGAUACUCGUCUCACUGGGCUUACCGAUAGCAUCCGAGGAAGCAGUAACGAUGAGGAUCCCUGUGAUACUGCGCUGAAUCCUGAGCCAGUCCCACUUUGCAGUACAGAACCUCAGCUGGCUGAGAGGGAGGAGAUUACAGCAUCAGGAGACUGGAUUCAUCACUACGACACAUCUGUGGGAAAGACUGUAUACGUGAACAAAGUGACUGGGCUCAGCCGAUAUGAGGACCUGCCUACUGAAGAAACACAUGUGUGCUGUACGUCUGAUGUCACCAAUAUGGCAGUUAGUGUCAUCUCUGAAAUGGGAAUGGAAUACAGGUGUUACCCGUUUCAGGUGGAUCUAGUGUUGCCCUUCCUACCUAAAUCCAGGACAGACAGAGUGAUUAGUUCAGGGCUUGAUGACCGAGAUGGCAAUGUUGAGAGCUCCAACUCCCUUACCUCAUUGUAUUCAAAAUGGAAAAACCCAGUGUUUGUCCGACCUCCUGAGGUUGGGGUGGACAUAUCAAGUGGGCAAGCUGACGGAUUGGCAGUCAAGAUCCACAACAUCCUGUUUCCAUACCGCUUUUCAAAGUCCAUGAUUCAGUCAAUGAAGGUUGUUCAUCAAGUGGAUAAGAAGUUUCUUGCAUGUCUCAUCAACACAAGGGAUGAAGAGCCGGCCGCACUUUCUGAAACUGAAGGAAACCUGCUGGUGCUGGUGGAUCAACACGCAGCGCAUGAGAGAGUUCGACUGGAAAAUCUAGUUGCAGAUUCCUAUGAGGAUGACCCGGAUUCACCCGGUGAGAGACGUCUGUGUUCAUCAACCAUUUUGCCACCUCUUGAGAUCAGUGUAACUGAAGAGGAGCUCAGGCUGCUUCGGUCUUGUCAGCCACAUUUGCGGAGUUUGGGCCUAGAAGUGAAGUUCUCACAAGUAGUGCAUCCGCAAGUCUUUGUUGGGAAGGUACCGUUGUGUUUUAUGGAAAAGGAGAGUAAUGAGCUCAGGCGGGGGAGACCAUCUGUUAUCAAGCCAAUUGUUGAGGAAUAUCUUCGAGAGCAGAUUGAGCUACUUCGCUCAACUGGUACAGUGAGAGGAACUCUGCCUCUCACUGUCCUGAAGGUGCUAGCCUCCCUAGCAUGCCACGGUGCCAUCAAAUUCAACGACAGCCUGAGCAGAGAUGAAUGCUGCAGCUUGGUGGCAUCCUUGUCCUCCUGCCAGCUUCCCUUCCAGUGCGCCCAUGGCCGCCCAUCUAUCGCUCCUUUGGUAGACAUCCUCCAUUUGGACAAAGACCAGAAGGAAUUACAAAAACCCAACCUCCAAAAGCUGAGAAGAAUGUAUAAAGCAUGGAAACUAUUUGGAAAUACAUAAGUCGGUGUGUAUUUUAUUUUAAAUGUUUAUUUCAUGAUUCCAAGUAACUCAUAAGAAUCCCCCUGUCAAAUUCCCCCGAAGCCCUUUGACCUACAGAAACAGCUGUACAUUCACAGGAAGACACAUGUCAGAGAUGAAUACCAUUACAUUUUGUUAGAGGAAAUACUAAAAUAAAAAUGAAUAUGGAUCAUAUGUGAUGCAUCAUCAGAAAAACAGCACAUUUUGACACACUGAGGUAAAUGUUCCCAAAGCAGCGCAGUCCACUUGAUGAUCAGGCUGUAUCACUCAGGUCGCGCUCGCAAAAUCGUCUUCACUCAAUCAACUUCUUUGACCUGAAGAAUCUUCUCAAAUAGAACACUUGCCAUAUGGCCAUUGAACACAAACAGCUUAUGGAGAUGAUGUUGAUGAACAGCACUCGUGUGUUGGUUGAAGCUGUGUGAGAUAGAGAAAAAAGCACCAAAAUAUUGUCACAAUGGUCCCAAGAAUUUCUACACAGUGAGCUAUGGAUCACACAGAGGAGAAAACUGCUGCAGACCAUAGUUUAAAUACUUCUGGCCACACAGCAGUUGAUUUCCAUCUGUUUUUUUUUAAAGGCAGAACACCUUAUAUCACACAUAGGGGUGUGGCCAAAAGGUAAAAAUGCUCGAAAAAUUUAAACUCAUAGAAAACGGUGCAGCUGUAAUUUCCCUUAAGCAGUUACUCACAGUGUGCAUGUACAUCAAACACAUUUCUCUCAUCAUUUACCAUUUGUGUGUCCCAUCUGUUUCCCUCGCUUCCUCAUGUAGACAAAGUCAUCCAUCAUGGAGUCUGAUAGGCGCUCCAGAGUUCUCAGCUUUUUUUCAAGGGGGCUCAGUUUCUCCACUUUCGCGAUCUGACAAAGAGUUUGUAAAGGUGAAAUUUCAUAUUACUCCACAAAUGUUUUGCGGACCAUGAAACUUUACUGGACUUUCCCUCUACACGGGGUUGAGUGGAUAAUGACUGAAUUUUCAUUUUUGGCUUAAUUUUUUUCUUUAACAUGGCCCCCCUCACCUCCUCCUGGUUCAGUGUGUCCAUGCCAUGCUUUGUUUUCAGAGUGACCAGUCGGUCUGGGACCUUUCCAUUGCCUAUGAUCAUAUGAGCAUUAAUAGCUCAUUAGUUAUUCACAGAAAACCAAUAGUUAUUGUACUAAUUUAUCCAUUUGAGUUGGAAUAUUCACAUUUACAUAUUUAGAAAAUUCACUCACCCACUGAUAAUGUGCUGUGAAAGCAAAUCUUCAACAUGUCCCGAGUUUCUGUCGUGAGGGAAAAUUUCCCACUUGUGAUGUUCUCCUUUUUGAACAGCAGGUCGCCAGCAGAAUCGGUGAUCUGAAGAAAGAGUUAACACAGGGGUCUGCCACAAUCUCAUUUAGGAGUGAUCAGGAUUAGUUUUGUUUCCUGAUUCUGAAGUCUUCAAAACUGAUAAAUUGACACAAGGUUCCCCUAACAUAUGGUAUUGGACUGCUCAUAAUGACAUAUUUUAAAUUGUCUUAAAUUUGUUGGUGCUAUCUUGAUGAAAUGUUUUCCAUACAACUUUGUUGUUUUAUUUUUGUACUACAUUGUAGCUACACCUCCAGAAACCUCAAAUUAAUUAAAAUAAAAAAUAAAAAAAAAAGAGA